UUUUUUUUUUUUUUUUUUUUUUUGGGGGGGUUUUUUGUUUUGUUUUUUAAAUUGAAGGCUAAAGUUUUUGAAAAAACUUUGUUGGACUCUGGCUGGGACACAAAAUCAGAUAUUUGGAAUCAUUUUGAAGCUUAACUUUUUCCUAACCAGCCUUGUAUUCUAAUUGCUUGCAAAUGUGAGACUGAAUGGCCAAAAUGCCGUUUGUUUGUUUGUUUAUUGUCAGCUGCUUUUAUCAAAUUCCAGGCCAUUAUCCAGCAAACACUAUUAAAAUGUUUGAACAGUUGGGUUUCAAACAUUUUUGUUUUGUGGAGUGGUGCUUAUUAAGUGGUACAGCUCUCUAAGCAAGUGAACACAAACAUAUUUAAGUGUAUUUUGUAUGAUUAGAUGUUACCAAUUCUGAUAUUUUAUUCAAAUGUCUAAAAAAAUAAGUUGACUUAUUCCCUUUACCAAAGGGCCAGAGACAAAUGGUUUCCUUUCAAGAGAAAUGACUGUUUUGAAGAAAAACUCUGUUGGUCUUAGCUCUUUUGUAAUUAAAUCUGGAUGUACCUCAAAAGACUCUUUAAGACUGUGGUGUUAAAAGGCUUUCCUCUGGAGAAGGAGAAAAAAUAAAAUCAACUGGAACUUAAAAGCUUGAAAUUCCAUGACAAAACACAGAUGUCCAGGAUUGGAGGUUCAUAAAGUACAUGCAGUAGUUGGAGUGGAUUCCAUUUUCAGUGUAGCUGCCACCAUGGACUCCAGGCUCCCAGAUUUUCAAGAACUGGACCUGUGACCCAGAAGAGCUUGUCAAGAUAUGACAGGAACUCUGGAGGUGGACGUUUUGUAUUCAAUUUUGGAACUGUUGAUCUUGCCGUGAGAAAAGAGAGACACGACUCACCAAGCACUGCCACCAGCACUGUCACUGGGAACUUGAAGAUCCAAGUUUCUGUCCAGAACCUCAGUGCAAACUGACAACACUCCAUCCAAAGUGAACUACGUCCCGUGCCUCCUGAUUGCUGAAUGUUCACCUGGACCUGCCAAUGACCUUCCUUCUGCUACUCCAUCAGCCUACAGACCUGGUACUUGGAUUUUUGUCCAUGGUGAUUCCUUCCACCUUACUACUGAAGAAGACACCAUUCCAGUGGACCACUGUGACCCAAGAAGCAUUCAGCCAUCAUGAUGUGGCCUUUACCUCCACUCCUGUCCUACUCUGCCCAGAUUCAGCACAGCCCUUUAUAGUGCAGUCAAGAGUCUUCAAGCCAAAUAACUGAAGCUAUUUUAUCACAACAAAGGCCAGGUUUAUUCCAUAAAUGUACAGUUCAUUUCUGCAGUUUAUUCUUCAGAGACACAUAGUAAAUUUGGACCAGGGGAUUUUGUUUUGUUUAUAUUGUCAACACUGUCUGAAGAAAGGCAUCUCUGAGAACAGCAUUGGACCCUACUCCACAAUCUCAAAUGAUUGAAGUUUCAUAAACUGCCUAGGAUCCUGUCAAGGCCACUGGACUCUUGUUCUUUUCCUACUUCAAAAUCUGUAGCUGUCUACUAAAUGACAAAGCAGAUAUUCUGACCCAUUGGGAUCAAAACCAAGGCAUUUUGAAUUCCUCAUAGUAUCAUCUUCGGGUUACUCAGGAACCAAAACUUUUCACACCAAUUUAAGAAAUUCUACUGAGGAAUCCCUUUACCUAACCAUCUCACAAGGCUUCAACCAGAUUCCUGAAAAGGCCUCUUGAUAUAUCAAGAUAGAACCUACAUGCAUUUUGUGAACAACUUAUCACUGAUUUUCCAAAGGCUUUGUGCUCUUGAAGUUCUUUGAAGGAAAGCUGUGUGGAAGUCCAGAGUAAAGUGAAGCUGCUCUGGAUGAAGUAGUGAAGUGGGAGUUGAGGUCUACAACCUGCCACAACCAUCUUCCUUUACCACCAUGGUGAUGCCAAAAGGGACUUCCUUAAAGCUCUUCAGAAAAUCCUGCUUGAAACCACUACCCUAGACAACAUGUUUGACCUGGAUGGCAUUCUCUUCAAAACAAUUCAUAUUCAGUUGAUGCUCAACAUGUUUGGAGAUGCUUUAUUCAGAGAAUGAUGAUAAUUACAGCAUUGUCUAAUGAAGUUUUAUUAAUAGCAUUCCAUCCAAGGUGGACUUCCUGGAGUUGGAUAUAACCAGAGAGCAAUUCAUAUGUAUCCUACACUGAAGAACACCAUUAACUUUCAGCAACCUAUAGCUAGUGGUACUAGAAGUACGUGUCUUGGAAGUCUAUGAGAGCUGGUAUUGAAGCUGAUGCCUCCUUAAGGCCAUCUUAGACCAAGUUGUUUGUUUGACCUCUCCUCAUUAACUAUGGAGCAGAAUUGAAAUACAAAUUUUUCCUAAAGGGACUUGCAACCUGGUUAUCAUUCAUUAUCUCAAGUUUCAAGUCAUGUUGAUGCAACCAGUAGUUAUUAAACUGCUCCAUGGUUUUUUGUUAUUUAAUACUUUUUCCAGGGCUUAAAAAAACAAAAUUAAAUUUCUCCAACACGUCUAUACUUGUCUGUUCAAAAGUAACUACUCACCACUAUAUGGAACAGAUGAUUCUGAAGACACUCUGAGCAUCCUUUAUGAUAUUUGUGACUUAAAAUGUGGCUGGAAAUUUUCCUUCUACCCAGUGAAAUAUUUAAUGAUUAGUCUUCAUGCCUGAUACCAUCAACUGUAUAUGCGUGAUAGGCAAAGUUUGACAUAGGCAUUUGACUCUAGGCUAUGAUAGCUUGCUAGUAACUUCAAGUAGCAUAUUGUCAACCUGUUUGCUGGAAAAGUAGAGUAACUUGGAAAAAAAACUAAAUGGCAGCUAAGGAUUUUUUUCAGUAUUCCUGAGUUUCUGUCCUUGGGAUAUUUCAAUGAAAUUUUCACCUGUCUCUUCACUUAACAGAGUGACUGACUCCUUACUAUGAAGUAUUCUUAAGACAUUAAGAUUACUUUUGUAGAAAGGAUAAAAUUCCUGACCAUCCAAAUCAUCAUAGUGAACAAGACUUCAAUUUGUGACCUGAGAAAAUCUCAUUUCUCUACUUCGUAGUCAAUGUAAGGGCCAAUGCUAUCAGCUACUCUGAGUGCACUGGGUAAACGUUGGAACUGCCUUCUUUAUAUCAUUACUUUUUAUCCUCUAAAUUAAUCAUGGUUAUGUAAUUCUCGCCACAAAUCAGCAAAUCAGACUCAGAUCUGGUUAUUCUAGACUGCUCACAGUUAACAAAUCAAACUCUGGAUGACUUCUGCUUGUAUAUGCAACUACUAUUUGUAAAGAAAUUGCAAAUUCACUUUUCUAUUACCUCUACAUUGCUAGCUCUUUCUUUUGUGUUUGUAUUAAAAACAAAAAUAAGCUACACUGCCAGCUAUUCCCUCCUGCCAUACUCAGUUAAAAUGAAGAAUCGGGAAUCUAACCAGUGAAUGGAUAAGUAGAAAAAACUAAAACUUAAGGCAAAAGCCUUAAUCUAGGGCCUUUUCUACUAUCUUCAUGUCUUGGAUUUCAUCUAAAAUCAACAGUGCCACCCAACCAGUCUGAGGUCUUGACUUGCUUUUAAGAUGAUUCUUAGAGAUGGGCUGUAUUACAGAAGGUGAAGACUUGAUUACCAAAGAAAGUAGAGCCAACUUUGACAAACCUGGCUCUACAAUCCUAUUGCUUCCAGAUGUAGCAUAGACUCAUAACUAGAACCUCAAGUCUGCAUUGAGGAUAUAGCCUUCUAAGCUGACAGUUCUUGCAACAGGUGAGCAAGAAAAUGAAAGCUGUUAUACCCAACUGGCCCUUUAAGAUCCAAAAAUAAUGUCUGGACUAAACCCUAUGGAGUACCCAGGACAAAAACUAAUUUACAGAGCUUCAUUAUUAAUCUGCCUGUUCUUCUAGCUUAAUUAUUGGUAUGGCUGGCCCUACUGAAGUAGUUUGUCUGUUUACCUGUCUUCAGCUCUUAACCUGGCUAUUUUGACAUGCUACUGCAAUUAGACUAACUGGCUUUGAGAAGACUACAAUCAGUUUCAGCCUCUCCUUUGCCCAAUUUCACCAAGGAAUUUUGAUAAGAGGAACCCAUACCUCACCCCACCAGAACAGAAAGGACCAUGCUGCAUAUUCCUUGACCAGCAACUUUAAGUAGAGAACAACCCUGCUUGUUUUCAACAUCUGAAACACCAUUUGAUCUAAUAGGAGUAUAGAAGGUUGACAGCAGAGUACACUACUUACUUCUUUCAUAACUCAGAAAUGAAUAUGACUGGCCCAGAAGUUGUAAGUUCACCUUGACAAGAAACAGCAACACCAGAAGUUUACUGCUGAACUUAACUUGCCACUUACUCGAAUAGUCUCACAGACCUGCUUGCCAAGUAGGAGGCUAGUUUUCCUGCUUCAUAUCACCAUUGGAGUGGGGCUCAAUGGGGUCAAUGUUAAUACUGACUUGAAUGGGGACCUUAUGGUGAAUCCUAGACUAUGAGGCUAAUGGAAAUUAUUGUCUAUUCAAGUGGAUUAUAGAUUUCCUGAGGACAGAACAGACAUCACUCCUGGUGAUUUUUAGAACUUGAUUACCAAGGAAGAAAUACCAGCUGCUAACAGUCAACUUCAUGGGCAAAGAUUAAGCUCUCUAUAUCUGGUCGUAUCCUGGAUGCUAGUUUUUUAUUGCCCAGUGACCAUUUCCAUCUCACGCUUAACUUCCUGAUGUUUUUUGGAACCAUCUCUUCCAAUUUUCAGUCCUGGUGAUUUAGACAGUCUUUUCAUGCUGGACAUUUUGUUGCAACCUCAUCAAUCACAGCAAAGUCCAUCUUGACUUUAGUGAUUAGUUCAGGAAUGGAUGCAUGAUUCAAGUUUGUCCAAUGAUAAUCAACCCUAGGUGUUUUCUCAGUUGUGGAGAAGUUCUCUUAGAUGCUUUAGCUUUGUAGGAGAAAACUCAAACCAACAGGGCCUACCUACUAUGUUGAAUGAUUGUAGGAGAAAACUCAAACCAACCAGGCCUACCUACUAUGUUGAAUGAGCCAGGCAGAAAAUGAAGCCAGUACAGAGGGAAAUGGAGCCAAAAGAGGAAGAGACUUGAGUUCUGAUGAUCACAUUUAUGCCCCUGUAUCCAACUGUGCCUGAAGCUAAUAGUACAUCACCUGGACUUUUCAGUUAUGUGAACCAAUAAAUUCCCCUUUUUGUUUAAGUUA
rnacentral:sRNA from 1 species